rnacentral:tRNA from 1 species
AAUAUUGUGCCUGAUAAAAGGAUUAUUUUGAUAGAAUAAACAAUGUAGAAUUUAAACUACCUUUAUUA